rnacentral:rRNA from 1 species
GUCGAGAAUAAUUCACAAUGGACGAAAGUCUGAUGGUGCAACGCCGCGUGGAGGAUGAAGGUCUUCGGAUUGUAAACUCCUGUCAUCGGGGAGUAAGACCUGGCGGUAAAUAGCCGACAGGGUUGAUAGUACCCGAAGAGGAAGGGACGGCUAACUUCGUGCCAGCAGCCGCGGUAAUACGAAGGUCCCAAGCGUUGUUCGGAAUCACUGGGCGUAAAGGGAGCGUAGGCGGCGUGGUAAGUCAGAUGUGAAAUCCCGGGGCUCAACCCCGGAACUGCAUCCGAUACUGCCAUGCUUGAGGGUUGGAGAGGUAGCUGGAAUUCUCGGUGUAGCAGUGAAAUGCGUGGAUAUCGAGAGGAACACUCGUGGCGAAGGCGAGCUACUGGACAACAUCUGACGCUGAGGCUCGAAGGCCAGGGGAGCAAAAGGGAUUAGAAACCCUGGUAGUCC